AGGACGCUUCAGCAGCCCGGCCGCUUCCGGUAGCUCUGGAACCUUGUUCCUAGUCCCAGAGGACUGGGUUUGUUCUCAGUCUGACAGACCUAAAGGAUGUCUCUGUCUCUGAGGUGCACUUAACCAUGUGUGCAGAACGGUCUACUGUCCCCUUCCCGCGCAGUCUUCAAGGCAUCACGACCUCAGCGGCUGCGCGUUGUGUUUUCAGGAUCCAUCCAGGUUGCCUUAUGUUCAUCUAACCCAGUGCUUCUGAAGGCUGCAUGGUACCUCUUUGUGUGGGUCCACCACACUUUACCCAUACACUCUGUUAUGAGCUGAAUUGUGUUCUCCCAAAAUUCAUGUGUUGAAGCCCCAACCUCAGAACCUGAGCAUGUAAUAAUUUUUGGAGAUAGGACUUUAACGAGGGUAAAAUUCAGUCCCAUGAAGACAUCACUGAAGGAUCUGAAAAUAUGCCAGCUGCAUUUAUGGGAAUGCUGAAAGGAAAGACUUUGGGGAAGGCAAUAGUGAAAGCAUGAACAAAAACGACACAUCUGGAUGAUUCCUUAGUCUCUUUUUAAUCAUUUAGCAAAAUCUGUCCUGUCUUUAUGACAUAAAAACAGUCAUGGUAAUGCAUUUGAUCUACUUAAUAAAAUACAUUGAUGUAAA